AAAACUUGAAUCAAAAUACUUAGAAACACAAAUCAAAACACUUUCUAACUAAUCUAAGACUUCAAAUUAAAGGGAGAUUUGUUUUGGACGAAAAUUUAACACAAAACAGAAACUUGAAACUAAACAGAUUGUAAAAACGAUUUUGGUGAAAUAGAUGGAUAAAGGGCUAGUUAGGAGGUUCUUCUCCACACAUGUCACACUUGCAAACAAAACGAUUUUCAGUUGUUCUUCCAAUAAAAUUAUGAAUACUCAACGCCCCAAGUUAACCGUGAAUUGCACUAAUUAACCCUCAGUUUUUCC
rnacentral:lncRNA from 1 species